AGCGGUAAGGCCCUUCGGGGUACACGAGCGGCGAACGGGUGAGUAACACGUGGGUAACCUGCCCUGUACUCUGGGAUAAGCCUUGGAAACGAGGUCUAAUACCGGAUACGACCACUGAAUGCAUGUUCGGUGGUGGAAAGUUCCGGCGGUAUGGGAUGGACCCGCGGCCUAUCAGCUUGUUGGUGGGGUAAUGGCCUACCAAGGCGACGACGGGUAGCCGGCCUGAGAGGGUGACCGGCCACACUGGGACUGAGACACGGCCCAGACUCCUACGGGAGGCAGCAGUGGGGAAUAUUGCACAAUGGGCGAAAGCCUGAUGCAGCGACGCCGCGUGAGGGAUGACGGCCUUCGGGUUGUAAACCUCUUUCAGCAGGGACGAAGCGCAAGUGACGGUACCUGCAGAAGAAGCACCGGCUAACUACGUGCCAGCAGCCGCGGUAAUACGUAGGGUGCGAGCGUUGUCCGGAAUUAUUGGGCGUAAAGAGCUCGUAGGCGGUUUGUCGCGUCGGCCGUGAAAACUUGGGGCUUAACUCCAAGCUUGCGGUCGAUACGGGCAGACUUGAGUUCGGCAGGGGAGACUGGAAUUCCUGGUGUAGCGGUGAAAUGCGCAGAUAUCAGGAGGAACACCGGUGGCGAAGGCGGGUCUCUGGGCCGAUACUGACGCUG
rnacentral:rRNA from 1 species